rnacentral:rRNA from 1 species
GAUGAACGCUGGCGGCGUGCCUAAUACAUGCAAGUCGAGCGAACAGAUAAGGAGCUUGCUCCUUUGACGUUAGCGGCGGACGGGUGAGUAACACGUGGGUAACCUACCUAUAAGACUGGAAUAACUCCGGGAAACCGGGGCUAAUGCCGGAUAACAUGUUGAACCGCAUGGUUCUACAGUGAAAGGCGGCUUUGCUGUCACUUAUAGAUGGACCCGCGCCGUAUUAGCUAGUUGGUGAGGUAACGGCUCACCAAGGCAACGAUACGUAGCCGACCUGAGAGGGUGAUCGGCCACACUGGAACUGAGACACGGUCCAGACUCCUACGGGAGGCAGCAGUAGGGAAUCUUCCGCAAUGGGCGAAAGCCUGACGGAGCAACGCCGCGUGAGUGAUGAAGGUCUUCGGAUCGUAAAACUCUGUUAUUAGGAAAGAACAAAUGCGUAAGUAACUGUGCGCGUCUUGACGGUACCUAAUCAGAAAGCCACGGCUAACUACGUG